CAGCAGGGUCAGGCUCGGUUCCCUUGUUCUCGGGGGGUCAGACAUUCACAGCCAGGCCUAAGAGCAGCACUCAUUAAUAAAGUAAGAGCAGUGACUAUGGAGCAUUGCUUCAUUCCACAUAGAACACAGGGGCCUUGUGUGUCAUUUCCUCAUUGAACUCUUGCAACAAACCCAGGAGCCGGGUACUGUUCUAUCACUACUGUGCAGAUGAGACAAUCCUGAACAGUUAGGUUGUAUGUGGGAUCUGAACCACAGAGCCUGGCUCCAGAGCUCUUGCAUAUGAUCACUGGGGUCCACUGUCAUUAUCAAGGCCAGACGCCCUUGCAGUCUUUCCCGCAGGGCUGCUGAGAAGGACUCUACAAGCUUCGGGCCCUGCCUGCCUCCACUGUCCAGGGCAAUCAGUGUGGGAACGAGAAGAAGAGAUGGAGAUAGAGGAAGUCUGAGCAGAAAUGGAGCUUCCGGGGCCCUCCCCACCCUCCGGAGCAGGCUGGCAGCAUGACAGGUGACAAAUCAAAAGUCAUUCUCUGCUGAACAGGCAAACCACCCUCACUUUCCACGCCCAAGUUUUCUCUGUCCAUCCCCUGCUGACUCCUGCUGCUGCUGCUGCUGCUAAGUCGCUUCAGUAGUGUCGGACUCAUUGCGACCCCAGAGACAGCAGCCCACCAGGCUCCCCCGUCCCUGGGAUUCUCCAGGCAAGAACACUGGAGUGGGUUGCCAUUUCCUUCUCCAAUGCGUGAAAGUGAAAAGUGAAAGUGAAGUCGUGCCUGACUCUUAGCGACCCCACGGACUGCC
rnacentral:lncRNA from 1 species